AUUGAACGCUGGCGGCAGGCUUAACACAUGCAAGUCGAGCGGAGAUGAGGUGCUUGCACCUUAUCUUAGCGGCGGAGGGGUGAGUAAUGCUUAGGAAUCUGCCUAUUAGUGGGGGACAACAUUCCGAAAGGAAUGCUAAUACCGCAUACGUCCUACGGGAGAAAGCAGGGGAUCUUCGGACCUUGCGCUAAUAGAUGAGCCUAAGUCGGAUUAGCUAGUUGGUGGGGUAAAGGCCUACCAAGGCGACGAUCUGUAGCGGGUCUGAGAGGAUGCUCCGCCACACUGGGACGGAGACCCGGCCCAGACUACUACGGGAGGCAGCAGUGGGGAAUAUUGGACAAUGGUGGGAAUCCUGAUCUAGCCAUGCCGCGUGUGUGAAGAAGGCCUUAUGGUUGUAAAGCACUUUAAGCGAGGAGGAGGCUACUGAGACUAAUGCUCUUGGAUAGUGGACGUUACUCGCAGAAUAAGCACCGGCUAACUCUGUGCCAGCCGCCGCAGUAAUAC
rnacentral:rRNA from 1 species